GGGUGGGAGCUAACUGCAGUCGAGCGGAUGAAGGAGCUUGCUCCUGAAUUCAGCGGCGGACGGGUGAGUAAUGCCUAGGAAUCUGCCUGGUAGUGGGGGACGACGUUUCUAAAGGAACGCUAAUACCGCACACGUCCUACGGGAGAAAGCAGGGGACCUUCGGGCCUUGCGCUAUCAGAUGAGCCUAGGUCGGAUUACCUAGUUGGUGAGGUAAUGGCUCACCAGGGCGACGAUCCGUAACUGGUCUGAGAGGAUGAUCAGUCACACUGGAACUGACACACGGUCCAGACUCCUACGGGAGGCAGCAUUGGGGAAUAUUGGACAAUGGGCGAAAGCCUGAUCCAGCCAUGCCGCGUGUGUGAAGAAGGUCUUCGGAUUGUAAAGCACUUUAAGUUGGGAGGAAGGGCAGUAACUUAAUACGUUGCUGUUUUGACGUUACCGACAGAAUAAGCACCGGCUAACUCUGUGCCAGCAGCCGCGGUAAUACAGAGGGUGCAAGCGUUAAUCGGAAUUACUGGGCGUAAAGCGCGCGUACGUGGUUUGUUAAGUUGGAUGUGAAAGCCCCGGGCUCAACCUGGGAACUGCAUUCAAAACUGACAAGCUAGAGUAUGGUAGAGGGUGGUGGAAUUUCCUGUGUAGCGGUCAAUGGCGUAGAAGUGAAAGGC
rnacentral:rRNA from 2 species